rnacentral:lncRNA from 1 species
GCAUCGACGACUUCCUAGCAAACAACCACGCCCAGGGCUGCCCUGCGGCUACGGAAUGGACCUCAGCAUGCGGGGGCACCACCGAUCACCUGGGCCUACACUUAAAGGCUAACCUUCCCUACAAACCCACGGGAACCACCACUGCACCCGCGGAACCAGAUAUCCCGAGCGCAGACACAAGCACCGGCCCUACACUAGCAAACAUCGUCAAGCCUAUCACUCAAACCCAGAGUCGCACCAUCACACAGCGAUGGGAAGCAGACGGAACCACUGCCCUUGAAACCCUGUAUGCCGCGCUCACCAUACCCGGUCGCAGCGCACGACAAAUCAUCGACUCCACAGUAACCGCACUUUCAUCCAACACACAUCACGUAGCAAAUACACGCACCGCCCACAACAUUGUCACCGACGCACGCGCACAACUCUCCACGCUUGACCUCAACGCCGCAUCCACCGCCCUUUAUGGAGCACUAGCCGUCGGAGCCAAAAUCAUGCUCGACACGUGUCCCCAAAAACCGCCCCGAACCUCCAGAGCAAAACCGUCCCGGGCGGAGGCCAAGAAGCUAAAGCGGCUGCUAGCCACCGAAAAACAGAAAAAGCAACUCUACCUAGCUCUCGUGCACGCCUCCCCAGCGCAACCACAGGAGCCUCCCACUCCGCCCCCCACAGCGCCAGCACCCGUACCACCCGUGGCCCCUACGAACCCCACACCCGCGGCCGCCGCCAAACGGGACUGGGAAACUGCCCUCAAGACACGCCGCACUACUCAGAAAGAAGCCAAUGCCAAGGCCGCCAGCAAAUGGUUAACACGGAUUAGAAAGCUAUUCGCAACCUCUCAAGGCAAAGCCUCCAAAAUAAUGCUCGGCAAAUCAGGACCGCGACAAAAACUGACAGCUGUACGCCACCCUACUACCCAACACAUUGCCACCACCAGCACCGACAUCAACGAUGCGCUACACACUCAUUUCCAAGCUGCCGCUGAACCCACUGGUGGCCCACGCACUGGACGCUACCNNNNNNNNNNNNNNNNNNNNNNNNNNNNNNNNNNNNNNNNNNNNNNNNNNNNNNNNNNNNNNNNNNNNNNNNNNNNNNNNNNNNNNNNNNNNNNNNNNNNGGGCUGCCCUGCGGCUACGGAAUGGACCUCAGCAUGCGGGGGCACCACCGAUCACCUGGGCCUACACUUAAAGGCUAACCUUCCCUACAAACCCACGGGAACCACCACUGCACCCGCGGAACCAGAUAUCCCGAGCGCAGACACAAGCACCGGCCCUACACUAGCAAACAUCGUCAAGCCUAUCACUCAAACCCAGAGUCGCACCAUCACACAGCGAUGGGAAGCAGACGGAACCACUGCCCUUGAAACCCUGUAUGCCGCGCUCACCAUACCCGGUCGCAGCGCACGACAAAUCAUCGACUCCACAGUAACCGCACUUUCAUCCAACACACAUCACGUAGCAAAUACACGCACCGCCCACAACAUUGUCACCGACGCACGCGCACAACUCUCCACGCUUGACCUCAACGCCGCAUCCACCGCCCUUUAUGGAGCACUAGCCGUCGGAGCCAAAAUCAUGCUCGACACGUGUCCCCAAAAACCGCCCCGAACCUCCAGAGCAAAACCGUCCCGGGCGGAGGCCAAGAAGCUAAAGCGGCUGCUAGCCACCGAAAAACAGAAAAAGCAACUCUACCUAGCUCUCGUGCACGCCUCCCCAGCGCAACCACAGGAGCCUCCCACUCCGCCCCCCACAGCGCCAGCACCCGUACCACCCGUGGCCCCUACGAACCCCACACCCGCGGCCGCCGCCAAACGGGACUGGGAAACUGCCCUCAAGACACGCCGCACUACUCAGAAAGAAGCCAAUGCCAAGGCCGCCAGCAAAUGGUUAACACGGAUUAGAAAGCUAUUCGCAACCUCUCAAGGCAAAGCCUCCAAAAUAAUGCUCGGCAAAUCAGGACCGCGACAAAAACUGACAGCUGUACGCCACCCUACUACCCAACACAUUGCCACCACCAGCACCGACAUCAACGAUGCGCUACACACUCAUUUCCAAGCUGCCGCUGAACCCACUGGUGGCCCACGCACUGGACGCUACCGACCAGAAGACACCACCACCACCUUCCCCUGGAACGAACCAGGAGCACCCGACGGCGGCUUCCUGCUGGCCCGCGCACAACACCCGGACACCCAUUCCCUGCUGCCUAACGUCUCUGACGCGAGCAACUUCCAACGGUGCAUGCAAUCCCUCUCCCGCAACAAGAGUCCUGGCCCUGACGGCCUCCCAAACGAGCUACUCAAAUGCAUGCCAGAUGCGUUACAAGCCGCCGUCCAUACUCUCCUAUGUGUCGCAUGGAUUAAAGCCGAACUACCAGACGGCUGGUCCACCAGCGACACCAUUCUCUUGUACAAGAAGGCAGACCCGCUGUCCAUCUCCAAUUACAGACCCAUUGCACUGUGCAACACGCUCUACAAGCUCUACACCAGUUUAGUCACUCGGGCAGCCACCGAAGCAUGCACUGAGCUCCUCGUCCACAGCGAAGCCCAAGAAGGCUUUCAAAAGUACAAAGGAACGGAGCGCCAAAUCAUGAACCUACUGCACGUGAUUGAGGACGCAGCCCUCACAAAGCGCGACCUAUACGUCGCGUACAUCGACUUCUCAAACGCCUUCGGCACCAUAGACCACGACCGCUUGCUCACUGUAAUGCACCACCUCGGCCUCCCAACCGACUUCAUAGAAGUCGUGCGCAAUCUGUACUCUACCGCAAACACCACCAUCCGCACAGCCCACGGCCGCACAUCCCCCGUCCAGAUAAGGCGCGGCACCAUGCAAGGAGAUACCCUCUCACCACUGUUAUUUAUCAUCUUUCUCGAGCCACUCCUGAGGUGGCUCCACUACGGCGGCCGCGGCUACCGAUACGGCUGCCUCACAAACAGUGAGAAUGACCAACACAACUGUUCAUCACUAGGCUACGCGGAUGACCUGGCGCUAGCAGCCAACUCCCGUGAUAACCUCCGGUGCCAAACUGACAAAAUUGCGCGAUACGCCGCCUGGGGAGGUAUGCGCAUCAACCGCGACAAGAGCGCCUGCACAGGCAUCCUCCACAGCUUCGCAAGUGCCAACAGUUCAGACAAAAGCAUGAAAGGCCCCGCCUGCGAACGCACCCUCAAACGCUUCCUGGAUGGCCAAAUCCACAUUGGCUCUAACGUCAAGGAUGGAAAACUCACCAAGAUAGCCUUGCCGUACGUGUCCCCACAUAAAUCAUACCGCUAUCUCGGCGUGGAAAUCACCAUGACGAUGGACUGGCGCCCUCAACUUAAGGCGGUUAAAACCGACCUAACUGACGCCGGCGAAGAGCUGAGCAAGUACAAAAAACUCCCUCGCCAGUGCUACAUGCUCAUCAAACAAUGCCUCAAAGCAAAAGUGGCUUACUCCCUCCCAGCCAUGGCAUACACGCAACACGAUAUCCGGGCACUGGACGCCCAAAUCGCGGGUAUCACCCGUCGGUGCGUCGGCCUACCACGUGACUGCGCCACCCGCGCCAUCCUUCUGCCUGCCGAGAUGGGGGGCCUAGGAAUAGGCUCGCUCCGCGAAGAGUAUGUACAACGCGCCUCCAGACUGCUCAUGAUUUCGCUGAACGAUAACGGCAGGCUAGGCGUAAUUACGCGCCGCCUCCUCCACCUCCAAGCGGCGCAGGCGGGGAGCGACCUCCCGCUGCACGACAUGCGAAGAGCGGGGAAAUUUUUUGUUACCCUGAAACAACUCACCCUCCUUCAAGACCACGACCUGCUGGCCAUGCUGCAAGGCAAGGAAUUUGCAGCCGCCCUACCAACACUAGUGUCCAAACUCCGAGCCGCUGAGGCGAGCACGCCCGCUUACCUGCGAGCUGACUGGAUCAGCCCCCUGACAAUAGACCUUGGCUUGAACCUGGCCGACCUGGUGGACGCAAAUACGGGACGGCACAUCAUUGACACUGUACAGCUGGAUCGGCGAUUUCCAAAAGGCCGGGUAAAAGACCGGCACAAGCGCGCCCUGAACCGCUUCACUCACGCCCUAUGCAAACUUGCAGACACACAACCUAAGCCGACCGCCGGUACUAAACCCCUCCCCCUGCACAACCGAGCCCUACCCAAUGGCGUCUCCAAGACAGACCUUCGGACAGCUGGCGACCUGCCUAAACCUAUACCCCAACGCACUCUCACCUCUCUACUGGAGCGCUGGCAGCAGUCGACACCUCCGAGGCCCUCCGGAGCCCCGGCGCGGCCGGCGCUGCGGUGGAUGCUGUUCCACGCCCGCGCUCCGCACGUGGCCGACCGCGGCUGCCAGCCGGGCAGGCAGCCCCGCUGGCGCCGGCGCGUCGCUGUACACCCACGCCCACGUGGUGGCGGAGUCCGGGCGCACAUG